rnacentral:rRNA from 1 species
GCGGACGGGUGAGUAACACGUGGGCAACCUGCCCGCAAGACCGGGAUAACUCCGGGAAACCGGAGCUAAUACCGGAUAACACCGAAGACCGCAUGGUCCUCGGUUGAAAGGCAGCCUUUGGGCUGUCACUUGCGGAUGGGCCCGCGGCGCAUUAGCUAGUUGGUGAGGUAACGGCUCACCAAGGCGACGAUGCGUAGCCGGCCUGAGAGGGUGACCGGCCACACUGGGACUGAGACACGGCCCAGACUCCUACGGGAGGCAGCAGUAGGGAAUCUUCCGCAAUGGGCGAAAGCCUGACGGAGCGACGCCGCGUGAGCGAAGAAGGCCUUCGGGUCGUAAAGCUCUGUUGUGAGGGACGAAGGAGCGCCGUUCGAAGAGGGCGGCGCGGUG